rnacentral:rRNA from 1 species
GAUUUCUGGUACGAUAUGCCUGGCCCGUCCUCGUCAGAGGCUCGAGUGCUGGUGUGUGUCUGCCAUCUUUCUAGAGAGCGGCACUUCCCUUCAUUGGAGAGGUGUCCGUCAUCUAGAUCUUUUACUUUGAAAAAAUUAGAGUGUUUAAAGCAGGCUUGCGCUAUGAAUACAUUAGCAUGGAAUAAUAAUUUAGGACUUUGGUUCUAUUUUGUUGGUUUCUAGAACUGAAGUAAUGAUUGAUAGGGAUGGUUGGGGGUGCUCGUAUUCAGUGGCCAGAGGUGAAAUUCUCGGAUUCACUGAAGACGAACUUAUGCGAAAGCAUU